rnacentral:rRNA from 1 species
ACAGUUACUAUGUUACCACAAAACUCCCAUAAGCAGCACAUAGACUUAGCUUAACUAAAACUACACAAACUUAAAUUAUUCAACAAUAAUAUCAAACCAGACAUACACCAACAUAAAAAGAGUAAACUAAUAGGUGGACCAUCCUUCACUAUGCAUAUUCCCCUAAUAAGAAUCGCUCACUGCCAAACCAUUUUAGUUACAAAACUAGAACAACUUUACAAAAUAC